GCAGUAGGGAAUCUUCCGCAAUGGACGAAAGUCUGACGGAGCMAUGCCGCGUGAGUGAGAAGGUUUUCGGAUCGUAAACUCUGUUGUUAGAGAAGAACAAGGAUGAGAGUAACUGCUCAUCCCCUGACGGUAUCUAACCAGAAAGCCACGGCUAACUACGUGCCAGCAGCCGCGGUAAUACGUAGGUGGCAAGCGUUGUCCGGAUUUAUUGGGCGUAAAGCGAGCGCAGGCGGUUCUUUAAGUCUGAUGUGAAAGCCCCCGGCUCAACCGGGGAGGGUCAUUGGAAACUGGARAACUUGAGUGCAGAAGAGGAGAGUGGAAUUCCACGUGUAGCGGUGAAAUGCGUAGAUAUGUGGAGGAACACCAGUGGCGAAGGCGACUCUCUGGUCUGUAACUGACGCUGAGGCUCGAAAGCGUGGGGAGCAAACAGGAUUAGAUACCCURGUAGUC
rnacentral:rRNA from 1 species